GCGAGGGUGGUGGAACGGCAGACACGCGAGUUUGAGGGGCUCGUGGUAGAAAUACCGUGCGGGUUCAAGUCCCGCCCCUCGCACCA
rnacentral:tRNA from 1 species